rnacentral:rRNA from 1 species
GAUGAACGCUGGCGGCGUGCCUAAUACAUGCAAGUCGAGCGAACAGACGAGGAGCUUGCUCCUCUGACGUUAGCGGCGGACGGGUGAGUAACACGUGGAUAACCUACCUAUAAGACUGGGAUAACUUCGGGAAACCGGAGCUAAUACCGGAUAAUAUAUUGAACCGCAUGGUUCAAUAGUGAAAGACGGUUUUGCUGUCACUUAUAGAUGGAUCCGCGCCGCAUUAGCUAGUUGGUAAGGUAACGGCUUACCAAGGCAACGAUGCGUAGCCGACCUGAGAGGGUGAACGGCCAGACUGGAACUGAGACAGGGUCCAGACUCCGACGGGAGGCAGCAGUAGAGAAUCUUCCGCAAUGGGCGAAAGCCUGACGGAGCAACGCCGCGUGAGGGAUGAAGGUCUUAGGAUCGUAAAACUCUGUUGUUAGGGAAGAACAAAUGUGUAAGUAACUAUGCACGUCUUGACGGUACCUAAUCAGAAAGCCACGGCUAACUACGUG